AUUGAACGCUGGCGGCAGGCCUAACACAUGCAAGUCGAGCGGAUGAAGGGAGCUUGCUCCUGGAUUCAGCGGCGGACGGGUGAGUAAUGCCUAGGAAUCUGCCUGGUAGUGGGGGAUAACGUCCGGCAACGGGCGCUAAUACCGCAUACGUCCUGAGGGAGAAAGUGGGGGAUCUUCGGACCUCACGCUAUCAGAUGAGCCUAGGUCGGAUUAGCUAGUUGGUGGGGUAAAGGCCUACCAAGGCGACGAUCCGUAACUGGUCUGAGAGGAUGAUCAGUCACACUAGAACUGAGACACGGUCCAGACUCCUACGGGUGGCAGCAGUGGGGAAUAUUGGACAAGGAGCGAAAGCCUGAUCCAGCCAUGCCGCGUGUGUGAAGAAGGUCUUCGGAUUGUAAAGCACUUUAAGUUGGGAGGAAGGGCAGUAAGUUAAUACCUUGCUAUUUUGACGUUACCAACAGAAUAAGCACCGGCUAACUUCGUG
rnacentral:rRNA from 1 species